ensembl:lncRNA
AAAACCAAGCAGUCUAAAUAUUGACUCGAGUCAAAAGAAGUGAAUGCUGUGGAUAUUAACCUCCUUAAGCUCUGAAGAGACAACUUUUGCAAGAAAUGGGUAUGCCCUCUGCACUUCACAGAUUGUCUAUGAUCACAGACAAACACCUCACCUUUGCCAUACACCUCACAAAUCUAUAAAAGUACAACCUUAUGACCAUAACAGUAUUUUCCUUAAUGCUAAAACAAAGCAUCACUAAGAUGCUGCUAUUCUUGCUUGAAGUUAAAGACUAGCAGGUGAGUCAGAUACCCCAAGGCAAAGUUAAGGAUCAUUAACAAAACAAAGGGUCAUUGUUAUUGCAAUUGCACAUCAAGAGGAUUAUGUCUGUUAUAAACUACGCUCAUAGCUUUGUUUUGUUUUGGGUGAGUUUUUAAAUAUUCCUUGAAAAGUUUAUCUGAUAUAAGAUUCACUUUCCUUGUUUUUAUUUUUCAAGCAAAUUAUUUUUUUGUGUCCAGAAUCUUCUGUACAUUCUUCACACAAUCCAUUAGUAUUUAUGCCUCCAUAUAUAUAGUAAUUCUGUAUAAACCUUGUUUACAUGCAGAAUUGGUAUCUCAAAGCAUACUGAGUGUGGGCUCAAUAUAAAAAAUCAAUGUCAUGUAAAGCAAACAUUUCCAUUAUCUCUCUAAAUUAGAAGUCAUCUGUCCUAGCUGUGAAAUAUACUUAUGAAUGUUUUCUUCAAAAACUACUAGACUAAUAGAACACAUUUUCUACAUCAAAUAUGAGGUUUCAUUCUUUUUAUUAUUAUUAUUAUGUAUGCAAACUCUUAAUCCACUUAUCUUGAUGUCCUUUAAAACCAAGCACUUUUGAGCACUGUUUAUUCCACGUCUACUUUUUCAGAAAUCAUCAACUACCAAAAUGUUUGAUAUAGAUAAAUCAUUCAAGAAUUUUCCAGAAGAUUUAAAGGUGUGCCUGCAUCUUAUCUCCCAUCUUCCAAAACUGUUGCCUGGACAACAUUGUAGGAAUUUGUGGAAUAGAAAAAUUAAAAAAAAUGAAAAUAAGUCACUUCAAAUUGUUGUACAUCAUAAACACAAUGCUAAUAACUUUUUCCCAAUGGGAUGACAGCAACUGUCCCUAGAUCUUUUCAGACUAAUUAUAGUUUAGCUGCCUGCCUUCUGAGUUCUAAACAAUCUUAUUUUCAGCUAUGAGU